rnacentral:rRNA from 1 species
AAGGCUUAAAUGGGAAAUGACAGGUUUAGAAAUAGACUUUUCUUCGGACAUUUUUCAAGGUGCUGCAUGGUUGUCGUCAGCUCGUGCCGUGAGGUGUUAGGUUAAGUCCUGCAACGAGCGCAACCCCUGUCACUAGUUGCCAUCAUUAAGUUGGGGACUCUAGUGAGACUGCCUACGCAAGUAGAGAGGAAGGUGGGGAUGACGUCAAAUCAUCAUGGCCCUUACGAGUAGGGCUACACACGUGCUACAAUGGCGCAUACAAAGAGAAGCGACCUCGCGAGAGCAAGCGGACCUCAUAAAGUGCGUCGUAGUCCGGAUUGGAGUCUGCAACUCGACUCCAUGAAGUCGGAAUCGCUAGUAAUCGUAGAUCAGAAUGCUACGGUGAAUACGUUCCC